rnacentral:rRNA from 1 species
UACGUAGGGACCAAGCGUUGUUCGGAUUUACUAGGCGUAAAGGGCGCGUAGGCGGCAAUUCAAGUCAUCUGUGAAAUCUCCGGGCUUAACCCGGAACGGUCAGGUGAUACUGUUUUGCUAGAGUGCGGAAGGGGCAAUCGGAAUUCUCGGUGUAGCGGUGAAAUGCGUAGAUAUCGAGAGGAACACCAGAGGUGAAGACGGGUUGCUGGGCCGACACUGACGCUGACAGCGCGAAAGCCAGGGGAGCAAACGGG